rnacentral:lncRNA from 1 species
GGGGGGUGUUUGUUUGAAUGGUGAUCACGUGACGGGGCGGUGACGUCACCCGCCCUGCCAGGCCAGGCGCCGCCGAGCCAGAGGGGGAGACGUCAUCAGCCUCGGAGCUGGGUCCGCUCGCCGCGCGCUGGCUCGCGGCCCGGCCCCCGCCCUGCUGUCCGGCCUGCUCUUGGCGCGUCCCCAGGGACCGGACCCGCGCCGCGCUCCAGGCCCAGCGGGGAGGAGGAGGGCUCGCUGCCAGCUGAGGCUGACCUCCGGGAUGCGAGCGGCCGGGAGAACGGGCGACGUGCCACCUGCCUUGGCCUCGCCGCUCCUCCCUCUCUCCCUCCCCGAGUCCCCUUCCCCGUGCCCCUCGGCCGCCGACCUGAACCGAAAGGGGCUUCCUGUGCUUUUGCAUACUCUUGUGCCCCUUUUCCUCAUUUCCUCAUCACUAACAGGCGGGGAAACUGAGGUUCCCCAGGCGAAGCGACUGACUUGCCCAGAACCACACUACUGGGGUGGGGGCAGCAAAUAGGCGCCUAAGAUGAAGUUUAGAGAAAAAUGAACAACUCUGCCGAUAGAAAAGUCGUCCCUACCAAGACCGACUCGAGCGAGUUGGGGCGGAGAGGUUCAGGGCAAUGCUUUCCUGUUUCCCAGACUUUUCUUUAAGGUGGCUUUAAAAUAUCUACAUUUGCCAUGAAAGUGUGAGCAAGCAAACUCCCACCGGGAAAUAAUGCUAUUCCUAGUCUUGUGGCCCCCGGAAGACUUGGAGCCAAGGGAGGCAGGUCAGGGGGCUGAAAUCCCGGUGAGGGGUCGCAAGGCCCCGCAGUGGAUUCCAGGGUUUGGCGUUUGGAGGGGUGAGGGGCGACCCGCAGCGCGACUCGACGGCGCCCCCCAGGGGCCGCCCGACACGUUUCUGUCACCUUGGCUCCAGACUGAGCUUCUCCAUCCCUUUCUUUAUUAUACAAAUAGGCAGUAUACACAGUGAGCGCCCACUAAGCGCUGGGCUGGGGGCCUCCAACCCGGAACAGAAGCCGGCCACAACCCUCGCUCCCUGUCGUCGCGGCCGUUAUAGGCCGAAAGCAAAAUCCAAUCCCGGGCCAUUGUGGGCGGAUUGCCAGGACCUGGAUCGCAACACUUGGGAAGACCCCCGCCCCGCCCAGCGAUCUCCGUGCCCUGAGUCCCAGUGACGGCCCCCUGGACAGCGGAGCCUGCUGCAGCGACGCGACGCGCUGGAUCUCAAAGCAAGGCUUGUUGGACAAAUAAAUGAAGAUGAGCCCAAGAGCCCAGGAGAGGGACCGGGAACAGCAGGGCCUCCGUGACUCACACAAGCUUCAUCCCUGAACCAAGGACGCAGCCUGCCAACAAUGGCCCCAAGCCACACCCCGCCACAGGGGGAACUGAUGCUGCGGUGAGAAGUGACAGCUUUCUGUUGACUCUUUUUUUUUUCAAGCAGAAUAUGAAUUGAGACAUACUUUCAUUUUCAUAAUCAGAACCUAACACUUAGUAACCAAUGUUGGUGGAAGCAAAUGAGAUCACAGUUUGUCUGUUCCAAACUCAUCUCUGGGAAAAGGAGGAGGAAAAAUUAUUGGCACUAUGUUCAGAAUCAUAGCUGAAGAUGCAGAAAUUGUUCAUCCCAAUUUUGCCUUUGUAAGUAAUGUGGGGGCAGUUCUUAUUAGUAAUUGCCAAUCUCUACUGAGACACAGUAUUUUGCUAGGCGCUUUAUAUUCAUUUCCUGGUAUGAUCAUGACAUUAACCCUGUGAAAUGCGUACCCUUACUAUCUCCAUGUGAAGAAAUGAGGGAACUGAGGACCAGAGAGGUGAACUGACUUGUCCAAAGACACACAGUAAGGGCUGUGACUCUCCGCUUUCUAAGAUUUUUGUUCUUAUCGCUCCACAGCACAUAGCAGGCGUAGUAUGAAGGCAGCAUGCUGCACAAUUUCGCUGUUUGUUUCUUGGAAUAAUAAUUUAUAGGGGACUGCUUCUAGAUUCCAAAGGAAAGAGAAAGGAAAUAUGCCCCAAACUCAGGCUUUCAGCCUGGCCCUGCCUGACUCACUGAGCUGCAUUGGACAAAUGAUUCAUUCACUGGCCUUGACCUCAGUGGGUUUGGCCACCCAUUGAGAGUGAAGUCACACCUCCAGCACUGCGAUGCAUUUAUUGAUCCACUCACCUAGCUUCAUGGCAGGCAAGAAACAGGCCUGUGUGAGCCUGCCCAGGAUCAGGGACAGGAGAGCACACAGGUGUUUCUGGAUAUCCUCAAGCUGUAGCUGGGCUGCUCGAUUCUUCCCUAGGAGAUCCUCCGGGGGCCUGAAUUAGUUUGCUAGGGCUUCCGUAACAAAGCGCCACAGACUGAGCGGCUUAAAUAAAAAUGUGUCAUCUCAUGGUUCUGGAGGCUGGAAGUCUGAGAUCAAGGUGCUGGGGAUUAGGACUUGAACAUAUGUUUUUUGGGGGCACACUUCAACCCUCCGGAGGGCCUGUGCCCCAAAGAGAGCCUCCUUCUGUGUGCAGUGAAGGUGUGAGUUCUAAACAUGAGAAAAAAACACCCCUUGUUCUUGGAUAGGGUGACUCGAUACCACAAGCAGGUCCAACUGGCCCAGGUAAAUAUAUUCGUUUAACAUGAUCGUCACCAAAAUAUUGAGGGUAGGUGUUUUUUUCUGGAGUUAAACAAGUUGAUUCUGGAGUUGAUAUGAAAUAAUAAACAAGCAAAAAUAGCCAGAAUUGUUUUUUUUAAAAAAGGGCAAUGGGGUGGAGGUAAGCCCUACCAGACAUUAAAACACAUCAUAAAGCUUCUGUAAUUGGCAGGGCACAGUGGCUCAUGCCUGUAACCCCAGCACUUUGAGAGGCUGUGAUGGGAGGAUUGCUUGAGCCCAGGAGUUUCAGACCAGCCUGAGCAACAUAGCGAGACUCCAUCUCUACAAAAAUAAAAAAUUAAAAGUUAGCUAAGUGUGGUGGUGUGCACUCGUAAUCUCAGCUAUUCCAGAAGUUGAGGUGGAAGGCUUGCUUAAGCCAAGGAAUCUGAGGCUGCAUUGAGCCAUGAUCACACCACUGCACUCCAGCCUGGGGGAUGGAGUGAGA